UCGGGACAGGGGAGACAGGUGGUGCAUGGUUGUCGUCAGCUCGUGUCGUGAGAUGUUGGGUUAAGUCCCGCAACGAGCGCAACCCCUAUCCUCAGUAGCCAGCAGUUAGGCUGGGCACUCUGAGGAGACUGCCAGGGAUAACCUGGAGGAAGGCGGGGAUGACGUCAAAUCAUCAUGCCCCUUAUGAUUUGGGCUACACACGUGCUACAAUGGCGUAAACAAAGGGAAGCAAGCCUGCGAAGGUAAGCAAAUCCCAAAAAUAACGUCCCAGUUCGGACUGCAGUCUGCAACUCGACUGCACGAAGCUGGAAUCGCUAGUAAUCGCGGAUCAG
rnacentral:rRNA from 1 species